ACUGAAUUGUCAACAAGAGUUGUUGCUGGUCCUCGAACGGGGGCAUGUGCACGCUCUGUUCACACAUCCACUCACACCCUUGUGCACCCUCUGUAGUUCUAUGGUCAGGGGGCCUGUCCUCCUGCUGUGGUUCUGCAUCUUUACACACACACACUGUAACAAAGUCUCAUGGAAUGCAUGCCGCGUUUAACGCAAUAUAAUACAACUUUCAGCAACGGAUCUCUUGGCUCUCGCAUCGAUGAAGAACGCAGCGAAAUGCGAUAAGUAAUGUGAAUUGCAGAAUUCAGUGAAUCAUCGAAUCUUUGAACGCACCUUGCGCCCUUUGGACAUUCCGAAGGGCAUGCCUGUUUGAGUAUCAUGAACACCUCAACUCUUUAUGGUCUUCCAUGAUGAGCUUGGACUUUGGGGGGUUUUGCUGGCCUACAGUCAGCUCCUCUAAAAUGAAUCAGCUUGCCAGUGUUUGGUGGGUAUCAUGGGUGUGAUAACUAUCUACGCUCGUGGUUUUCCACCAGAUAACCUUCAGCAGUGGAGGUUCACUGGAGCUCAUAGAUGUCUCUCCUCAGUGAGGACAGCCCUUUGAAUGUUUGAUCUCAAAU
rnacentral:sRNA from 1 species